GACAACUAAGAGCAAGAUUUUAUCGUGAUGAUAACAAAAGAAAGUUGGCCAAGGAUAUAGAACCACGACCAAAUGUUUCAUUUUAUCCAGAUGACACCAAAACAAAGCUCUUCGCUGAAGAUUUAGAACCACGACCAAAUGUCUCAUUUUAUCCCGAUGACGAAACCAAAACAAAGCUCUUCGCUGAAGAUGUAGAACCACGACCAAAUCUCUCAUUUUAUCCCGAUGACGAAACCAAAACAAAACUUUUUGCUGAAGAUGUAGAACCACGGCCAAAUGUCUCAUUUUAUCCCGAUGAUGACACUAAAACAAAGCUUUUUGUUGAAGAUGUAGAACCACGACCAAAUGUUUCAUUCUAUCCUGAUGACGAAACCAAAACAAAACUUUUUGCUGAAGAUGUAGAACCACGACCAAAUUCCUUCUUUUAUCCUGAU
rnacentral:lncRNA from 1 species